CCCUUAGAUGUUCUGGGCAGCACGCGCGCUACAAUGGUCUUCGCAAACGGAUGCAUUCUCGAAGGAGAAUGCCAAUCUUGGAAUCUAUGCCUUGGUCGGGACAGUUGCUUGCAAUUUUUCGACUCGAGCCAGGAAUUCCUUGUAAUCGUGAUUCAUCACAUCACGAUGAAUACGUCCCUGCCCUUUGUACACACCGCCCGUCGCUCCUACCGAUCGAAGAGUUAGGUGAAUUGUUUUGAUCGAUAAGAUUUGACUAUGGUCAACUCUCGUUGUGAAAUUCUGUGAAUCUGACUGUUUAGAGGAAGGAAAAGUCGUAACA
rnacentral:rRNA from 1 species